AGCGAACGCUGGCGGCAGGCUUAACACAUGCAAGUCGAGCGGGCACCUUUCGGGGUGUCAGCGGCGGACGGGUGAGUAACGCGUGGGAACGUGCCCUCUGGUUCGGAAUAGCUCAGGGAAACUUGAGCUAAUACCGGAUACGCCCUUUUGGGGAAAGGCUUGCUGCCGGAGGAUCGGCCCGCGUCUGAUUAGCUAGUUGGUGAGGUAACGGCUCACCAAGGCGACGAUCAGUAGCUGGUCUGAGAGGAUGAUCAGCCACACUGGGACUGAGACACGGCCCAGACUCCUACGGGAGGCAGCAGUGGGGAAUAUUGGACAAUGGGCGCAAGCCUGAUCCAGCCAUGCCGCGUGAGUGAUGAAGGCCUUAGGGUUGUAAAGCUCUUUUAUCCGGGACGAUAAUGACGGUACCGGAGGAAUAAGCCCCGGCUAACUUCGUG
rnacentral:rRNA from 1 species